rnacentral:rRNA from 1 species
GACGUAGGGCGCGAGCGUUGUCCGGAUUUAUUGGGCGUAAAGAGCUCGUAGGCGGCUUGUCGCGUCGACUGUGAAAACCCGUGGCUCAACCAUGUGGUCUGCAGUCGAUACGGGCAGGCUAGAAUUCGGUAGGGGAGAACUGGAAUUCCUGGUGUAGCGGUGAAAUGCGCAGAUAUCAGGAGGAACACCGGUGGCGAAGGCGGGUCUCUGGGCCGAUAUUGACGCUGAGGAGCGAAAGCGUGGGGAGCGAACAGG